rfam:Trichobilharzia regenti genome assembly, scaffold: TRE_scaffold0011859
GUACUGCUGAAGAGUCCCAAACUAGGAUGAAAGAGCUUUCCAGUAC